UCAGAUCUCAUAUUUGAGAUCUCCGUAUUCUCUCAAGUUUUCUUAUCUUUGGCUCUCUCACAAGUUCUCUCUCUCAUUAAAAAGGUCAAGAUCUGAGAAUAUGAGACUCAUAACGGUAUUGACGAUCUAGGAAGAUAUGGUUGCAUUGUUCUUGAUGGUUCCUUUGUAUUUCCAUUAGCAUUGAUGACUGGACUAAUCGGUGGUGGUGCAUUGGUGAUAUCAAAAGCUGCAAUAAACAAUAAAAAACAAAAACUGAAUCAGUGUGCAUUGGUGAUAUCAAAAGCUGUAAUAAACAAUAAAAAGCCUACAAAACUGAAUCUGUUUUUGAUUUUGUUGCCCCAAAAGUUAAGAGUGUAGCUCAGUGGCUAUGUAAUUUUUUUUAAAAAAAGGACUUGAGUAAUUGGCAAAAACAUACCUAAAUGAAACAUAAAUAAACAUUUUAGUUGUUGGAUAA